GACAGAUGAGGACCGAACAGGAUGGACUUCACCACGGAAGGAGGGAAAAUCACUGAUGAGGUGUUCUGGCGUCUGGAAGCCCAUGGUGGAGGCGGCAGCAAAUCUGGUUUCCUGUGAGAGCUCUCCUCCUGGCCAUUACGAGAUAUUGAAUAUAGUCCCAUUACACGCUUUAACAAAUAUUUCUGCAAAAUUGAAAAUGUGCCCACAAUACCACAGCUCAGAGAUGAUCGCUACAUAUUAAAGGGGAUGAGGCUGAAGUCUCCACAUCUUCUGCUCUUGGCAGUAGAUCCUGGGAUGGCCUCUGAUGCCCAGUCCAGCUUCAGAUUCUUGGCACGGACAGUGCUGCUCCGAGGCCAGCACUGCAGAUCCUCCGUUAAUCAUCUGGACGCACGGAACGUUAGAAGAUGAGC